ensembl:lincRNA
GGGUGGGGUUCUAGUUCACUCUCAAUGAAGAAGAAAGUGACACAAUCAUGUUAGUUGGCUGAACCAACUCUUCCUGUCCCCUUUUCAGCCCUUUCCAGGGCCCCUCCCCCAGGAAGUAUCUUACCCACCUGUGACUUGGCACCUGUCAGGGGACCAGCUGGCCAAGGUCAUGCUUCAGUGAAGCCUCCCAGCUCAGUCCCUGACUUAGACACUGGAGCCAACAUUGGCCCAUCUGACUACACUCACAGCCAAGCAAAUGAAAGCCUGGCCCUUGCAGCCCUGAAUCGGACACCUUCCUGUUGUCAAAGCAGAUGGAGUCCAUGGAAGCCUUAGCAGGUGCUGACAGGCAGCCCAGAAGCCAGCCCAUGGAGAGGAUCCAGGUUGCCUGAUCACAAGACCACACGAAUCCUGGCUCCCAGGACAUCCCAGCCCCGCCCUCUGAACUGAAGAUGCAAGCAGAGCGUUGGCACAGCAGCCGUAUUCUCCACACCCCUGAUCCUGGUGCUGGAUGUGGCAGGUACCUACCAGCACACUGCUGACAGCCAGAGCUGGACCCCUUCCGGCCCUGGGACAGCUGUGUCACCCAAGGAAGUCUUCAACCCAGCCUCACAUCAUGUCUUGGAGUCAGGAAAUGUGUGGCGCCAAGUCAGCUUGGCUCAGCUGGAACCACGGUUCUCAGAUUUCCCUUUUCUGUGUGCUUCCAAGUGCAGGGCAAUGCAGUGCUAAGUCACUUCAGUCCUGUCCAACUCUUUGCAACCCUAUGGACUGUAGUCCACAAGGUCCCUCUGUCCAUGGGAUUCUGCAGGCAAGAAUACUGGAGGGGGCGGCUGUGCCCUCCUCCAGGGGAUCUUCUAACCUGUGUCUUCUGAGGCUCCUGCAUUGUAGGCAGAUUCUUUACCACUGAGCCGCCAGGGGAAGCUGGCUUCCAAGUUGAGGGUGACAUGAGAUGCAUGAGAUUUGGGAGGCAGAAAGACUCCAGGCAGUCUUGCCAUUCACACACAACCGUCUCUCAUUGGCUGACGUGGGGGAGCACCUGGCUUACCUCUUCCAGCUCCUCCUGGCUCUCUUCCUUCCAUUUUUCUUUGUCUUGGGCCAGGCAUGUGUUCAGCUUGGCAACAAAGGAUGCCAGCUUCUCCCCCACAUCACCUGUGUCAUCGAGACUGGAGGCCACAAGAAACAGACACAAUCAACAGUGUGCUGCUACGUGUCGGACAACCUUCUCUCCAGGUGGAUUUUGUACCAUUGUGCCACCUGGAAAUCCUGGCUUUUUACUACUGCCAUUGAAAAUGCUUUCUACAUCCUUAAAUAUAUCUAUGAAGCAGCCGGCUUACAGACAACUCAGACUCAUCUUUUCCUACUGCAUUAAACUAAACAAAUCUUGAAAUACCAAGAUUGUUCUGGCCUCAGGGCCUUUUUACUUGCUAUUCUUCCUACCUAGAACUCUGCUCCCCGUAUGAAGGAGUCUUCAUUAAUAAGACUUCUUCACUGCAUUCAAAUUAUUUGAGUAUCACUACUCAAAGUUCCAGCAUCACUGCUGCACUCUUUGAGUAUCUGCACACAAUCAUUCUGUACCCACUCGCCAGGACAAUCUUAUUGGUUUAUUGUUUUCUGUCUUUCCCGUUAGAAUAUAACCACAUCAGGUUAUGGGGAGGGAGGUGGGAGGGGGGUUCAUGUUUGGGAACACAUGUAAGAAUUAAAGAUUUUAAAAUUUAAAAAAAAAAAUAAAUAAAAUAAAAUAAAAUUUAAAAAGAAAAUGAAUUUAUGGUUACCAAAGGGGAAGGGGAGGGAUAAACUAGGAGACUGGGAUUAAUAUUGUAUGUCAAGUAGAUAAACAACAACGACCUUCUGUAUAGGAUAGGAACAAUAUUCAAUAUUUUGUAAUAAGGGGAAAGAAUCUGCAAAAGUAUAUAUGUAUAUAUAUUUGUGUGUGUAUCACUCUGCUGUACACCUGAAACUAAUGCAACAAUGUAAAUCAACUACAGUUCAAUUAAAAACGAGACUGUGUUACUCUGUUUAAAAUUCAAAAAAAAAAA